rnacentral:snRNA from 1 species
AAAACAGGUCAAUAAACUCCUUAUGUAGUGUCUGUUCUUAUCAGCUUAAUAUCUGAUACGGGUCCUAUUUGGACCGAAGAUAUUAAACUUAUUUUCGGAAUGGGGCGGAGUGCUCGAAGCUUGCUUCACCUUCGCCACAGGUUGGCCCAGUAUUGAACUUGCCUCUGGGAUCGGCCCACUCACC